rnacentral:lncRNA from 12 species
AGGAUGUGGCUGUGCACGACUGGCAUGCUCUGUGCUCUGAAGGGAUUACCCCGAGCACAGCCCCAACCCGGCGCUCUGAUAUUGUUGGUGCCUUAGAAAUGAUCAUUACUCACCCGCAUGAGGAAAGCCAGAGGAAUGGAAAACCAAAACCUGAAACUGAUCCUUUGGUGAGGAAUGAAGGACCCAUUAACCAUCUCCAAA